UAACGGCUCACCAAGGCGACGAUACAUAGGGGGACUGAGAGGUUAACCCCCCACACUGGUACUGAGACACGGACCAGACUCCUACGGGAGGCAGCAGUGAGGAAUAUUGGUCAAUGGACGCAAGUCUGAACCAGCCAUGCCGCGUGCAGGAUGACGGCUCUAUGAGUUGUAAACUGCUUUUGUACGAGGGUAAACGCAGAUACGUGUAUCUGUCUGAAAGUAUCGUACGAAUAAGGAUCGGCUAACUCCGUGCCAGCAGCCGCGGUAAUACGGAGGAUUCAAGCGUUAUCCGGAUUUAUUGGGUUUAAAGGGUGCGUAGGCGGUUUGAUAAGUUAGAGGUGAAAUUUCGGGGCUCAACCCUGAACGUGCCUCUAAUACUGUUGAGCUAGAGAGUAGUUGCGGUAGGCGGAAUGUAUGGUGUAGCGGUGAAAUGCUUAGAGAUCAUACAGAACACCGAUUGCGAAGGCAGCUUACCAAACUAUAUCUGACGUUGAGGCACGAAAGCGUGGGGAGCAAACAGGAUUAGAUACCCUGGUAGUCCACGCAGUAAACGAUGAUAACUCGUUGUCGGCGAUACACAGUCGGUGACUAAGCGAAAGCGAUAAGUUAUCCACCUGGGGAGUACGUUCGCAAGAAUGAAACUCAAAGGAAUUGACGGGGGCCCGCACAAGCGGAGGAACAUGUGGUUUAAUUCGAUGAUACGCGAGGAACCUUACCCGGGCUUGAAAGUUAGCGACGAUUCUUGAAAGAGGAUUUCCCUUCGGGGCGCGAAACUAGGUGCUGCAUGGUUGUCGUCAGCUCGUGCCGUGAGGUGUCGGGUUAAGUCCCAUAACGAGCGCAACCCCUACCGUUAGUUGCCAUCAGGUCAAGCUGGGCACUCUGGCGGGACUGCCGGUGUAAGCCGAGAGGAAGGUGGGGAUGACGUCAAAUCAGCACGGCCCUUACGUCCGGGGCUACACA
rnacentral:rRNA from 1 species